rnacentral:tRNA from 1 species
GGUUGCGGCUCUGUGGUAGAGUGCUGGCCUCACAUGUGUGAGGCACUGGGUUCGACUCUCAGGACCA